UACGUAGGGGGCAAGCGUUGUCCGGAUUUACUGGGCGUAAAGAGCGUGUAGGCGCCAGACAGGUCCGUUGUGAAAACUCGAGGCUCAACCUCGAGAUGUCGAUGGAAACCGUCUGGCUAGAGUCCGGAAGAGGAGUGUGGAAUUCCUGGUGUAGCGGUGAAACGCGCAGAUAUCAGGAAGAACACCUAUGGCGAAGGCAGCACUCUGGGACGGUACUGACGCUGAGACGCGAAAAGCGUGGGGGAGCGAACAGG
rnacentral:rRNA from 1 species